AGGUGCUGGUUCACUGGAUUGAGUCAAAUAAGACAAGCAUCUUAAAGAAAGAAUAUAUUAUUUAAAGACAAAAGUGUGCAUGCUAAAACAUCCCGAGAAGGAUCGCAUGGUUUUGUUUGGAUACUCAAAGAUGAAUUCCCCAAAGACGGCAUGGAAAUCGUAUUUUGAAACGUUUUGGCAGAAAGUGAUAGCAAGAAUGAGUUACUAAUGAAAACUUAGCUUGAAUUGAGCAGUUGGAGGAUAACAGUGAUAAUAACAGUGAUGAUAAUAAAGCCAAGAAGAGGCGAUUAGAUGUGACCAGUGCUGACAAUAAGAAACCAAAGAAGAAUAUAAAGCUUUUGUCAUCAUGAAAUUUCCUCAAGCAAAUAAUACAAUUUUAAAAGCUGUUAUGACACAAGAGUGCAAAGAAUUUAGGCUGUCAAUGGAAAACCGAAGAAAGAAUCAGGAAGAUCUUAGCAACAAUUAAGGACAGUAGGAUGACUAAAUAAAUUAUAGUAUUAUAAUUCAUUUUUUUAUAUUUACAGAUGUAUCUUUUACUCUUUAACAUAGUCAAAUGUUUCACUUCAUUUUGUAAUAUGGUUUUCAAUAUAUGUGCAUUAAUUUACUUCACCUGGUAAUACUGUGUCUGAGUGAUUUAAUGAUAAUUAAAGGUGUCAUGCAGUAGUUUGUGUGGAUCACAUGUGAACCACAUGUGAACGUCAAAACAGACUAACAUGUGAACCACAUGUGGUUGUUCCAGAUCCACAUGUACUGAACCACAUGUGACUCACAUGUGAUACUACCACAUGUGAUACUACCACAUGUGAACCACAUGUGAUACCACCACAUGUGAACCACAUGUGAUAUAAUGGUUCCAAUUUCACAUGUGAGUCACAUGUGAUUCCACAUGUGGUUUU